GACGAACGCUGGCGGCGUGCUUAACACAUGCAAGUCGAGCGGUAAGGCCCUUUCGGGGGUACACGAGCGGCGAACGGGUGAGUAACACGUGGGCGACCUACCCUCAGCUUCGGGAUAAGCCUGGGAAACUGGGUCUAAUACCGGAUAUGACCUUCCCUCGCAUGGGGGUUGGUGGUAAAGUUUUUUCGGCUGGGGAUGGGCCCGCGGCCUAUCAGCUUGUUGGUGGGGUGAUGGCCUACCAAGGCGACGACGGGUAGCCGGCCUGAGAGGGCGACCGGCCACACUGGGACUGAGAUACGGCCCAGACUCCUACGGGAGGCAGCAGGUGGGGAAUAUUGCGCAAGUGGGGCGGAAGCCUGACGCAGCGACGCCGCGGUGGGGGAUGACGGCC
rnacentral:rRNA from 1 species